GGGCAGCAAUGUCUUGUUAGUGGCGAACGAUCGCGUAACACGUAAGCAACCUGCCUCAAAGUGGGGGACAACAGAUCGAAAGGUCUGCUAAUACCGCAUGUGAACGAUUCUUGGCAUCUUGGAUCGUUUAAAGCCUUGUGCGCUUUGAGAUGGGCUUGCGGCCUAUCAGGUAGUUGGUGGGGUAACGGCCUACCAAGCCGACGACGGGUAGCUGGUCUGAGAGGACGAUCAGCCGGAUUGGGACUGAGAUACGGCCCAGACUCCUACGGGGGGCAGCAAUUAGGAAUCUUGCACAAUGGGCGAAAGCCUGAUGCAGCGACGCCGCGUGCGGGACGAAGGCCUUCGGGUCGUAAACCGCUUUUUUAGGGGAAGAAGCAUGUGACGGUACCCUAAGAAUAAGCCCCGGCUAACUACGUGCCAGCAGCCGCGGUAAUACGUAGGGGGCGAGCGUUGUCCGAAGUUACUGGGCGUAAAGCGCGCGUAGGCGGUCAUUUAAGUCUGAGGUGAAAGGUUCAGCGCUCAACGUGAACAGUGCCUUGGAUACUGGGUGACUUGAGUUCGGGAGGGGGCAGUGGAAUUCCAGGUGUAGCGGUGAAAUGCGUAGAUAUCUGGAGGAACACCGAUGGCGAAGGCAGCUGCCUGGCCCAGAACUGACGCUGAGGUGCGAAAGCGUGGGGAGCGAACGGGAUUAGAUACCCCGGUAGUCCACGCCGUAAACGAUGAGUGCUAGGUGUUCGGGGUAUCGACCCCCCGGGUGCCGCCGCUAACGCAGUAAGCACUCCGCCUGGGGAGUACGGCCGCAAGGUUGAAACUC
rnacentral:rRNA from 1 species